GUCAGUCCCCUCCGCACCCCCUCUAAUUUCUAAUCUAUGUGCCUGUAGCGUUGGAGGAAAUCCCGUCAUAUAGGAAUAUAUUGUUUCGAUUUGGUUUUGAUUUACUGAUUUCUAAUCUCCAAUUUCACUUCCGCGUGCAUAUUCUAGAUAAUUGUUGAGUAUAGAUCCAAUUUUGUUGGAUAUCAAUAGACCAAAAUCAUGGACUACAUCGGCUAAUCUAAUUGCUCAUCUGAUGAACAUGUCAGUCAGUUCUCCCUUCCAUGCCCACAGCAGAUGCUACGGGGGUUAAGCGGGAGCCCUGAUCAGCCUGUCGGUCAAGAUGAAAGACCUGCAUCUGCAUGGGUGAAGAGGUAGAUCAAGAUCUUGACGCUGUAUGACGUCAACCAAUCCAUCGCAACCUUUGAAGUUGAUUUCGUCGAGUGGCCUCUGCUUUGCCACAAAGAGAUGCACUGAAAAGAGGGAGAAAACAUUCUUCUCUGCUUGCUCGGUUACAAGCUAGCUAAUGGAUUAUGGAUGCUCCUGGAGAGAUGGAGCAAGCCAGGGGCGACCAGCCUCGGACUUGCCGGUUGCCGCCUCUGCCAUGGCGCGGCCCGGCGUCUGCGCGUGGUGGCACAACUAUGCAAGGGUGGUCACGUCUAGCCAUGGUAUGGUGGGUGUGCCAAGGCAUGGCUAGGUGGCCGCGUGAACACGGCAAUUGGCGAUGCACACCACCUGUUGGGCGAAAUGUGUGGCCGGUGAGACAUUGUUCGGAUUUCACCUUUAUAUCUUUUCCUUUUCUGUUUAUCUUGAAUUGAUUCUGCUUCUUCUGCAUUACGGUUGGUUUUGAACCCCAAGACGGAAGAAGAUGGCCGUGGCCGAGGCAUGGACUCAUCUAGGUGAAGGGCGACACCCACAGCCAAAAGUACGUCGACGAGGCCACCAAGAAGGAGGUCAAGGACAUCUUUCGGCCGCUAUGACCGCACCCUCCUCGUCGCCGACCCCAGGCGCUGCGAGCCCAAGAAGUUUGGUGGGCGCGGAGGGGUCGGGCGAGAUAGGCCAACAAGUGCACUUGAAUGCUGGAUCUAGGAAAAUGCUUCCAUACUAGGAACAACACUCUAAUGAAACAUCGAGUUGCUCCAGAACAAUAACAAUGCACAAGACGGAAUUUUCUGACCCAAAUCUUAAGCUGGCCAUCAGUUUUUAACUCAGGAGAGCUGCAUGUUAUAUUGAAAAGUAGGAAACGCCCAGAGGGGCGAAGGUAAAAUUUACAAGGCAGAACAAGAAAAACGGAGCUCCAACAGCUGCCAAGUGGGAUUAAUAUGUUUGGUCUUGCUAAUAUUGACAGUGUACUGGCAAAGCCGCGCUGUGUUUCUAGUA